rnacentral:tRNA from 1 species
UGCGGGGUGGAGCAGUCUGGUAGCUCGUCGGGCUCAUAACCCGAAGGUCGUAGGUUCGAAUCCUUCCCCCGCUACCA